CAUCCUGCCUGCCAGUGCAACGUGAACUGAUCCAUCAGUGCAAUGCGGGACCCAUCAAUACGUCACCUUCAUCAGUUUGCAUAAGACUAAUGAUUGGACGUCACUUUCAAGGAGACUGGGAGAGACAAAAUGUCUUUGGGACAUUGCAGCGUACUGAGGCAUCCUGGCUGUGUUUGAAUGUCCAUGGUUGGACUUCCUGGAAGUAGCAGUCUAGGAUGGAGCGUUCGGACCCCAUACACUGAACACUGUUCAUAUGGAUCGGUCCUGUACCUGAAGAUGGAAGGGGUGUGUGUGGCAGAUUUACAGAGGCUCCAUGCAGGGCAUCCUUGGCAGUACCAAAGCCCAGUUCUCUGCACACCACGCUGGCUGCAUUCCGUUCCCACAUAUGGUCCACAAUGGUCCCCCAUUUACCAUCUCGGAG